GGGUCGUUAGCUCAGUUGGUAGAGCAGCAGCCUUUUAAGCUGAUGGUCGCAGGUUCGAAUCCUGCACGACCCACCA
rnacentral:tRNA from 1 species